rnacentral:tRNA from 1 species
GUUUAGGUGGCAGAGUCUGGCCAAUGCAAAAGACCUAAGCUCUUUAAACAGGGGUUCAACUCCCCUUCUAAACU